GUUCUUUGAUAUGCCGAAUCUAACUAUGUAUGUAGAUUCUUAAUUUUUGGUCCCGUUUUCAAAUUGGUCUACAUUAAGGUCCAAAGGGUCCAAAAUUAAACUUAGUUUGAUUUUAACAAAAAUUGAAACCUUGGGGUUCUUUGAUAUGCUGAAUCUAAAAAUGUACUUAGAUUUUUAAUUAUUGGCCCAGUUUUCAAGUUGGUCCAAAUGGGGGCCAAAAUUAAACUUUGUUUGAUUUCAUCAAAAAUUGAAUAAAUGGGGUUCUUUGAUAUGCCAAAUCUAACUGUGUAUGUAGAUUCUUAAUUUUUGGUCCAGUUUUCAAAUUGGUCUACAUUAAGGUCCAGAGGGUCCAAAAUUAAACUAAGUUUGAUUUUAACAAAAAU
rnacentral:lncRNA from 1 species